GCCUGGGUGACUCAGUCGGUUAAGCGUCCGACUUCGGCUCAGGUCAUAACCUCACGAUUUGUGAGUUCGAGCCCCACCUCAGGCU
rnacentral:tRNA from 1 species